AUCCCUAUUCAUACAAAAAAAAGCACAUCUGAACAUUCUUUUUUUCAUCAUUGAAUAUCAAUCUACCAAUAAAAUACAACCUCAUCCUUAAUUUCUACCGGACAGCAGCAGCCUAUCCUCACCCUCUCUCUUCAUCGUAGCCGCGCUCUCUCUCUGUCGUUCUUCACGCAAGCAGCCGCCUUGUCGUUCCCCAUGCAUCAACAGCUCAUCAAAUCGUCCUCCACGUAGCAGCAACCCCGUGUUACUCUCUAGCAUCGUGCCUUCCUCCACUCCUCCCUGCAAUUGCCACUCUCUGUCUUCCGUUUGCAGCUGUUCAGCCCUGCCGUUUCCGUCGUCUAGCCCCACAGUUUUCGUCGACACAGUCUCCUGUAUCUAGAAUGGAGCCUCAGAUGGUGAUACACAGUUGAACCAAUGGGAUGAUGAAGAUAUGGUUUCAGGCUCCAACAGCAAGCAUAGUUACAAUUUUCAAGCUUCCAAUGUUAAUCCUAAGAGAGAAAAGUACCUCAGAUACCGGACCAGACUGAAUGCUGCAGAGUAUGCUUGUUUUAGCUGUGUAAUUUAGUUUUUAUAUAUGUUUCAAAAAUGCCAACCUAUCCUAGAUUCAAACCUUAUGUUUUCUUGGCUUCUUUCAUGCGGUUUUAAUGCAUGUAAUGUGAAAUAUACCUUCAUCCUUUGGUAAAGAAUUAGGAAGUACAUACUGAGAUUUGGUAACCAUAUCUAAGUUAUCUUCAUUCAAUCCAAAGUUCAUCAGAAGAGGUGCUCUGUAAUUUUAGCUUCAGCUUGGCAAAUAUUUGAUGACGAUGGCAAUGGCAAUGGCAGUUCAACCAAGUCUAACAAAUUAAAAGGAGGCAAAGUUGAGUGAUUAGGGAUGGAUAGCCUUUGAAUGUUUCUUGAUGUUGAUAUGAAGAAGACAUACAUGAACACCAGAAUUUGCUAUGGGAAGUUGGAAAAAUGGUAUUAAAUGGUCAAAGGCGCACCACUGAAGCAUCACUACGUGAAUUCUUCUUUGCAAUUUUUCAUUAAUUACUUCUUCUUUCUCCGCUUCUGGUCUGAAGGAUCCUCUGAGUGAUGUUUUAUGUGCUGCGGUAACUUUGCUUUAAUAUACAAUAUACUAGAUUUAAAAUGUGUGAUGCACACAAAAAUACUAGAAUACA